UGCCGGAUAGCCAAAUGCAAAAGGCUCCCCGCUCUGAACGGGGGAAUAUGGGUUUAAAUCCUAUUCCGGCAA
rnacentral:tRNA from 1 species